UACGUAGGGUGCAAGCGUUAAUCGGAAUUACUGGGCGUAAAGCGUGCGCAGGCGGUCUUGCAAGACAGAUGUGAAAUCCCCGGGCUCAACCUGGGAACUGCAUUUGUGACUGCAAGGCUGGAGUGCGGCAGAGGGGGAUGGAAUUCCGCGUGUAGCAGUGAAAUGCGUAGAUAUGCGGAGGAACACCGAUGGCGAAGGCAAUCCCCUGGGCCUGCACUGACGCUCAUGCACGAAAGCGUGGGGAGCAACAG
rnacentral:rRNA from 1 species